AGUAGAAGUAAACUUGUUCUGAAAUAUUGUCCAGAAUAGGUUUUUAAAGAAAAACAAA
rfam:Carnobacterium sp. CP1, complete genome.